rnacentral:rRNA from 1 species
GACGAACGCUGGCGGCGUGCUUAACACAUGCAAGUCGAACGGAAAGGCCCUGCUGUUGUGGGGGGCUCGAGUGGCGAACGGGUGAGUAACACGUGAGUAACCUGCCCUUGACUUUGGGAUAACUUCAGGAAACUGGGGCUAAUACCGGAUAGGAGCUCCUGCUGCAUGGUGGGGGUUGGAAAGUUUCGGCGGUUGGGGAUGGACUCGCGGCUUAUCAGCUUGUUGGUGGGGUAGUGGCUUACCAAGGCUUUGACGGGUAGCCGGCCUGAGAGGGUGACCGGCCACACUGGGACUGAGAUACGGCCCAGACUCCUACGGGAGGCAGCAGUGGGGAAUAUUGCACAAUGGGCGGAAGCCUGAUGCAGCAACGCCGCGUGCGGGAUGACGGCCUUCGGGUUGUAAACCGCUUUCGCCUGUGACGAAGCGUGAGUGACGGUAAUGGGUAAAGAAGCACCGGCUAACUACGUG